rnacentral:rRNA from 1 species
UAUUGGUCAAUGGACGCGAGUCUGAACCAGCCAAGCAGCGUGAAGGAUGACUGCCCUCUGGGUUGUAAACUUCUUUUAUAUGGGAAUAAAGUUUUCCACGAGUGGAAUUUUGUAUGUACCAUAUGAACAAGCAUCGGCUAACUCCGUUCCAGCAGCCGCGGUAAUACGGAGGAUCCGAGCGUUAUCCGGAUUUAUUGGGUUUAAAGGGAGCGUAGGUGGAUUGUUAAGUCAGUUGUGAAAGUUUGCGGCUCAACCGUAAAAUUGCAGUUGAAACUGGCAGUGUUGAGUACAGUAGAGGUGGGCGGAAUUCGUGGUGUAGCGGUGAAAUGCUUAGAUAUCACGAAGAACUCCGAUUGCGAAGGCAGCUCACUAGACUGCAACUGACACUGAUGCUCGAAAGUGUGGGUAUCAAGC